GGGGUCCCCCGGCCCCCCCCCCCCCCCCCCGGUGCUCCCCCGGGCCCAGCCCGAAGCCGCUCUGAUGCCCCUCGCAGCCUGCGGGUGCCGUGGCUUAUCCCGCCGGUUGUCGUUGGGGCCCCGUUUGUAACGGGCUCCCGCUUCUCCUCGGCCCGCCGGCCCUGAGGUGGGCGGCGCUUCGGUUCGAAAGCGAAGUCCGAAUCUGCAAGGCUGCCUUCGGCCUCUUAAAGGCGGAACGAGUCGGGGCCGAGCCGGGGCAUUCAACGGUUCUGGGCAUCGCUGAGAAAUCUUCCCGUGCCCUAAAGGGCUUCCCUUCCCCUAAAGGGCUGGGACGCCUCCAAAGGACCCGGGGCAAAGCCCUGCGGGCGACGUUCCCUGCAGCCCGAGGGUGCUUCGCCGCCUCCCGGGGCUCGCCGAGGCCUCGGGGAAAGGGCAAAGCGGGCUACGUGCCGAGCUCGGGGCCUCCGCACGGAAAGCGGCGGCGCUCAGCCGGAGCCUUUCCCCUCCCGCCUCGUGCCCGCGGUGCCGCGCGAAGCGCCCGAGACCCGACAGCAGCUCCCGGUGCCGGCUUUCUUCGGCAGGUGGGUAGGGAAACGCCACGUUUAUCGUGGCUAGGCGCACCGGGCGGGGUGCCGUGACGUCCUCGGAGCGGGUACGGGGACGUUUUGUCACCCGAAGUACCCGGCCCUGCUUCCUUGUGCUGCCCGGGGAAGCCCAAUUAGCCGGCGGGGGCGCGCGUCGGGGAAGCAGCUAACGCCUGGCCGUGCUCCGCAUAACGCGCUUGGCGAAGGAACAAUAAGCGUGCGGAUUUAAACGGAAUACAGACAGCUAAUUAGCUCCGAAGUUAAGCGCUCGGCUCUGUUCCGCACGAAAUAAGCGGCCUCAGGAAAUGCUAAAAAAAAAAAAAGAAAAAAAACAAAAGCAAACCACCACAAAACCCCAGAGUGAUGUUAAGAAACCAUUUUUUCCAGUCCUAAAAUGGUUCUUUGCGCUGCAUGGCC
rnacentral:lncRNA from 1 species